UGACGAGCGGCGGACGGGUGAGUAAUGUCUGGGAAACUGCCUGAUGGAGGGGGAUAACUACUGGAAACGGUAGCUAAUACCGCAUAACGUCGCAAGACCAAAGAGGGGGACCUUCGGGCCUCUUGCCAUCAGAUGUGCCCAGAUGGGAUUAGCUAGUAGGUGGGGUAACGGCUCACAUAGGCGACGAUCCCUAGCUGGUCUGAGAGGAUGACCAGCCACACUGGAACUGAGACACGGUCCAGACUCCUACGGGAGGCAGCAGUGGGGAAUAUUGCACAAUGGGCGCAAGCCUGAUGCAGCCAUGCCGCGUGUAUGAAGAAGGCCUUCGGGUUGUAAAGUACUUUCAGCGGGGAGGAAGGUGUUGAGGUUAAUAACCUCAGCAAUUGACGUUACCCGCAGAAGAAGCACCGGCUAACUCCGUGCCAGCAGCCGCGGUAAUACGGAGGGUGCAAGCGUUUAUCGGAAUUACUGGGCGUAAAGCGCACGCAGGCGGUUUGUCAAGUCGGAUGUGAAAUCCCCGGGCUCAACCUGGGAACUGCAUUGGAAACUGGCAGGCUAGAGUCUUGUAGAGGGGGGUAGAAUUCCAGGUGUAGCGGUGAAAUGCGUAGAGAUCUGGAGGAAUACCGGUGGCGAAGGCGGCCCCCUGGACAAAGACUGACGCUCAGGUGCGAAAGCGUGGGGAGCAAACAGGAUUAGAUACCCUGGUAGUCCACGCCGUAAACGAUGUCGACUUGGAGGUUGUGCCCUGAG
rnacentral:rRNA from 1 species